GCACUCACAUCUCUACCCCACCAGCAGCCUCUUAGAAGCAGUGAGAAAUCUAUUUUAGAAGAGAGGAAAGCGCUUCUCAGUACACCUCCCUUUCCUUUUCAUAGACGAGUACUCCAUCAUGUAACUACCUAUGACCACAAGUAAAGGCUGGAAAA
rnacentral:antisense_RNA from 1 species